rnacentral:rRNA from 1 species
GGAAGGCAUGUCUAGUAUAAGCAAUCUGUACAGUGAAACUGCGAAUGGCUCAUUAAAUCAGUUAUCGUUUAUUUGAUAGUACCUUUGCUACUUGGAUAACCGUGGUAAUUCUAGAGCUAAUACAUGCUAAAAAUCCCGACCCCUGGAAGGGAUGUAUUUAUUAGAUAAAAAACCAAUGGCUUCGGCCUCCCUGGUGAUUCAUGAUAACUCAACGAAUCGCAUGGCCUUGCGCCGGCGAUGGUUCAUUCAAAUUUCUGCCCUAUCAACUUUCGAUGGUAGGAUAGUGGCCUACCAUGGUUUCAACGGGUAACGGGGAAUUAGGGUUCUAUUCCGGAGAGGGAGCCUGAGAAACGGCUACCACAUCCAAGGAAGGCAGCAGGCGCGCAAAUUACCCAAUCCCGACACGGGGAGGUAGUGACAAUAAAUACUGAUACAGGGCUCUUUUGGGUCUUGUAAUUGGAAUGAGUACAAUUUAAAUCCCUUAACGAGGAACAAUUGGAGGGCAAGUCUGGUGCCAGCAGCCGCGGUAAUUCCAGCUCCAAUAGCGUAUAUUAAAGUUGUUGCAGUUAAAAAGCUCGUAGUUGAACCUUGGGUCUGGCUGGCCGGUCCGCCUCACCGCGUGCACUGGUCCGGCCGGAUCUUUCCUUCUGGCUAGCCGCAUGCCCUUCACUGGGUGUGUCGGGGAACCAGGACUUUUACUUUGAAAAAAUUAGAGUGUUCAAAGCAGGCAUAUGCUCGAAUACAUUAGCAUGGAAUAAUAGAAUAGGACGUGCGGUUCUAUUUUGUUGGUUUCUAGGACCGCCGUAAUGAUUAAUAGGGAUAGUCGGGGGCAUCAGUAUUCAAUUGUCAGAGGUGAAAUUCUUGGAUUUAUUGAAGACUAACUACUGCGAAAGCAUUUGCCAAGGAUGUUUUCAUUAAUCAGUGAACGAAAGUUAGGGGAUCGAAGACGAUCAGAUACCGUCGUAGUCUUAACCAUAAACUAUGCCGACUAGGGAUCGGGCGAUGUUCUUUUCUGACUCGCUCGGCACCUUACGAGAAAUCAAAGUCUUUGGGUUCUGGGGGGGAGUAUGGUCGCAAGGCUGAGCUAGAAUAUAAUGUCAGAGGAAA